rnacentral:rRNA from 2 species
AGAGUUUGAUCCUGGCUCAGGAUGAACGCUGGCGGCGUGCCUAAUACAUGCAAGUCGAGCGAACGGACGAGAAGCUUGCUUCUCUGAUGUUAGCGGCGGACGGGGGAGUAACACGUGGAUAACCUACCUAUAAGACUGGGAUAACUUCGGGAAACCGGAGCUAAUACCGGAUAAUAUUUUGAACCGCAUGGUUCAAAAGUGAAAGACGGUCUUGCUGUCACUUAUAGAUGGAUCCGCGCUGCAUUAGCUAGUUGGUAAGGUAACGGCUUACCAAGGCAACGAUGCAUAGCCGACCUGAGAGGGUGAUCGGCCACACUGGAACUGAGACACGGUCCAGACUCCUACGGGAGGCAGCAGUAGGGAAUCUUCCGCAAUGGGCGAAAGCCUGACGGAGCAACGCCGCGUGAGUGAUGAAGGUCUUCGGAUCGUAAAACUCUGUUAUUAGGGAAGAACAUAUGUGUAAGUAACUGUGCACAUCUUGACGGUACCUAAUCAGAAAGCCACGGCUAACUACGUGCCAGCAGCCGCGGUAAUACGUAGGUGGCAAGCGUUAUCCGGAAUUAUUGGGCGUAAAGCGCGCGUAGGCGGUUUUUUAAGUCUGAUGUGAAAGCCCACGGCUCAACCGUGGAGGGUCAUUGGAAACUGGAAAACUUGAGUGCAGAAGAGGAAAGUGGAAUUCCAUGUGUAGCGGUGAAAUGCGCAGAGAUAUGGAGGAACACCAGUGGCGAAGGCGACUUUCUGGUCUGUAACUGACGCUGAUGUGCGAAAGCGUGGGGAUCAAACAGGAUUAGAUACCCUGGUAGUCCACGCCGUAAACGAUGAGUGCUAAGUGUUAGGGGGUUUCCGCCCCUUAGUGCUGCAGCUAACGCAUUAAGCACUCCGCCUGGGGAGUACGACCGCAAGGUUGAAACUCAAAGGAAUUGACGGGGACCCGCACAAGCGGUGGAGCAUGUGGUUUAAUUCGAAGCAACGCGAAGAACCUUACCAAAUCUUGACAUCCUUUGACAACUCUAGAGAUAGAGCCUUCCCCUUCGGGGGACAAAGUGACAGGUGGUGCAUGGUUGUCGUCAGCUCGUGUCGUGAGAUGUUGGGUUAAGUCCCGCAACGAGCGCAACCCUUAAGCUUAGUUGCCAUCAUUAAGUUGGGCACUCUAAGUUGACUGCCGGUGACAAACCGGAGGAAGGUGGGGAUGACGUCAAAUCAUCAUGCCCCUUAUGAUUUGGGCUACACACGUGCUACAAUGGACAAUACAAAGGGCAGCGAAACCGCGAGGUCAAGCAAAUCCCAUAAAGUUGUUCUCAGUUCGGAUUGUAGUCUGCAACUCGACUACAUGAAGCUGGAAUCGCUAGUAAUCGUAGAUCAGCAUGCUACGGUGAAUACGU